rnacentral:rRNA from 1 species
GAGGAAUAUUGGCCAAUGGGUGAGAGCCUGAUCCAGCCAUCCCGCGUGAAGGACGACGGCCCUAUGGGUUGUAAACUGCUUUUGUACGGGAAGAAACAGUGCUUCGUGAAGCACCUUGACGGUACCGUAAGAAUAAGGAUCGGCUAACUCCGUGCCAGCAGCCGCGGUAAUACGGAGGAUCCAAGCGUUAUCCGGAAUCAUUGGGUUUAAAGGGUCCGUAGGCGGCCUUAUAAGUCAGUGGUGAAAACUCCCGGCUCAACCGGGAAAUUGCCAUUGAUACUGUAGGGCUUGAAUUAUUGGGAAGUAACUAGAAUAUGUAGGGUAGCGGUGAAAUGCUUAGAGAUUACAUGGAAUACCGAUUGCGAAGGCAGGUUACUACCAAUACAUUGACGCUGAUGGACGAAAGCGUGGGUAGCGAACAGGAUUAGAUACCCUGGUAGUCCACGCCGUAAACGAUGGAUACUAGCUGUUGGGCGCAAGCUCAGUGGCUAAGCGAAAGUGAUAAGUAUCCCACCUGGGGAGUACGAACGCAAGUUUG